rnacentral:rRNA from 1 species
AUUGAACGCUGGCGGCAGGCUUAACACAUGCAAGUCGAGCGGUAACAGAGAGAAGCUUGCUUCUCUGCUGACGAGCGGCGGACGGGUGAGUAAUGCCUAGGAAUCUGCCUAGUAGUGGGGGAUAACUUGCCGAAAGUUAAGCUAAUACCGCAUACGUCCUACGGGAGAAAGGAGGGGACCUUCGGGCCUUUCGCUAUUAGAUGAGCCUAGGUCGGAUUAGUUAGUUGGUGAGGUAAUGGCUCACCAAGACCGCGAUCCGUAACUGGUCUGAGAGGAUGAUCAGUCAAACUGGAACUGAGACACGGUCCAGACUCCUACGGGAGGCAGCAGUGGGGAAUAUUGGACAAUGGGAGGAACCCUGAUCCAGCCAUGCCGCGUGUGUGAAGAAGGUCUUAGGAUUGUAAAGCACUUUAAGUUGGGAGGAAGAGCAGUUAACUAAUAUUUGACUGUUUUGACGUUACCGACAGAAUAAGCACCGGCUAACUUCGUGCCAGCCGCCGCGGUAA